CCCAUCUAGGCAGCACGAACCCAGAUACCGGGCGACGGUACACAGCUAUCCCCCACCUUUCAGCCUCCUAUAAGCACCAUUAAGCACCACGAAUGGCGCACCGGAAUACCCAUAUUAGUAUCACCUCUCUUGAUGUCAAAGGACUCAACUCGCCAGGGAAAAGACAUGGGAUACUCCGCUGGGCUAACCGCACAGGGGCGGAUAUCAUACUGCUCCAAGAAACCCAUUUCACAGAUCAGAAGCAGUUCCCACUAGUUAACAGACACUUCAAACGCAGCUACCUAGCCAACUCACAGGAACCCAAAAAGAAGGGAGUAGCCAUCUUGCUACGCAACACAUGCCCACUUACGGACAUACAAACCCACAAGGAUUCCUCAGGCCGUUUUAUCUUCCUCACAGGCUACGCGGGGAACCUCCCC